GGGUCGGUGGUCUAGCUUGGCUAUGAUUCCUGGUUUGGGUCCAGGGGAUCCCCGGUUCAAAUCCGGGCCGGCCCACCA
rnacentral:tRNA from 2 species